AAUCAACGCUGGCGGCGUGCCUCAGACAUGCAAGUCGAACGAUUAAAGCUCCCUUCGGGGAGUGCAUAGAGUGGCGCACGGGUGAGUAACACGUAAGUAAUCUACCUUUGAGUGGGGAAUAACGUUCGGAACGGACGCUAAUACCGCAUAAUGCAGCGGCAUCGCAAGAUGACAGUUGUUAAAGGAGCAAUCCGCUUAAAGAGGAGCUUGCGGCAGAUUAGCUUGUUGGUAAGGUAACGGCUUACCAAGGCUACGAUCUGUAUCCGGUCUAAGAGGACGGUCGGACACACUGACACUGAAUAACGGGUCAGACUCCUACGGGAGGCAGCAGUCGGGAAUUUGGGCAAUGGGCGAAAGCCUGACCCAGCAACGCCGCGUGAAGGA
rnacentral:rRNA from 1 species